rnacentral:rRNA from 2 species
UACAGAGGGUGCGAGCGUUAAUCGGAUUUACUGGGCGUAAAGCGUGCGUAGGCGGCUUCGUAAGUUGGAUGUGAAAUCCCCGAGCUUAACUUGGGAAUUGCAUUCAAAACUGCGAGGCUAGAGUAUGGGAGAGGAUGGUAGAAUUCCAGGUGUAGCGGUGAAAUGCGUAGAGAUCUGGAGGAAUACCGAUGGCGAAGGCAGCCAUCUGGCCUAAUACUGACGCUGAGGUACGAAAGCAUGGGGAGCAAACAGG